rnacentral:rRNA from 1 species
UCAAGCGAACAAGUGCAUGUGGUGGAUGCCUUGGCGAUCACAGGCGAUGAAGGACGCGGUAGCCUGCGAAAAGCGGAGGGGAGCUGGCAAACGAGCUUUGAUCCUCCGAUAUCCGAAUGGGGAAACCCGGCCCGUUUGAGGUAUCCGUAACUGAAUACAUAGGUUACGUGAAGCGAACGCGGUGAACUGAAACAUCUAAGUAACCGCAGGAAAAGAAAUCAACCGAGAUUCCCAGAGUAGUGGCGAGCGAAAUGGGACCAGCCUGUACUCUUUAUCUUCAUUGUUAGUCGAAGGCUCUGGAAAGUGCCGCCAUAGCAGGUGAUAGCCCUGUAGACGAAAACAGCGAGGAAGAACUAGGUGUACGGAAAGUAGGGCGGGACACGUGAAAUCCUGUCUGAAGAUGGGGGGACCAUCCUCCAAGGCUAAAUACUCGUGAUCGACCGAUAGUGAACCAGUACCGUGAGGGAAAGGCGAAAAGAACCCCGGGAGGGGAGUGAAACAGAUCCUGAAACCGCAUGCAUACAAACAGUCGGAGCCUCUGCGAAGGGGUGACGGCGUACCUUUUGUAUAAUGGGUCAGCGACUUACAUUCAGUGGCAAGCUUAACCGAUUAGGGCAGGCGUAGCGAAAGCGAGUCCGAACAGGGCGAUUCAGUCGCUGGGUGUAGACCCGAAACCAGGUGAUCUAUCCAUGGCCAGGAUGAAGGUGCGGUAACACGUACUGGAGGUCCGAACCCACUAACGUUGAAAAGUUAGGGGAUGAGCUGUGGAUAGGGGUGAAAGGCUAAACAAACCUGGAAAUAGCUGGUUCUCUCCGAAAACUAUUUAGGUAGUGCCUCGUGUAUCACCUUCGGGGGUAGAGCACUGUCAUGGUUGUGGGGUCCAUUGCGGAUUACUACGCCAUAGCAAACUCCGAAUACCGAAGAGUGCAAUCACGGGAGACAGACAUCGGGUGCUAACGUCCGGUGUCAAGAGGGAAACAACCCAGACCGCCAGCUAAGGUCCCCAAAUAUUGCUAAGUGGGAAACGAAGUGGGAAGGCUAAAACAGUCAGGAGGUUGGCUUAGAAGCAGCCAUCCUUUAAAGAAAGCGUAAUAGCUCACUGAUCGAGUCGUCCUGCGCGGAAGAUGUAACGGGGCUAAGCAAUAUACCGAAGCUGCGGAUGCACAUUUAUGUGCAUGGUAGGAGAGCGUUCCGUAAGCCUGCGAAGGUGCAUUGAAAAGUGUGCUGGAGGUAUCGGAAGUGCGAAUGCUGACAUGAGUAGCGAUAAAGGGGGUGAAAGGCCCCCUCGCCGUAAGCCCAAGGUUUCCUACGCAACGUUCAUCGGCGUAGGGUGAGUCGGCCCCUAAGGCGAGGCAGAAAUGCGUAGCUGAUGGGAAGCAGGUUAAUAUUCCUGCACCAUUGUUAAAUGCGAUGGGGGGACGGAUCGCGGAAGGUUGUCCGGGUGUUGGAAGUCCCGGUCCUUGCAUUGGAGAAGGCGCUCAGGCAAAUCCGGGCGCGGAAUUCAAGGGUGCGAGGCCAGUCGCUUAGGCGACGAAGCAAUCGGAAGUGGUUCCAAGAAAAGCCUCUAAGCUUCAGUUUAACAGGACCGUACCGCAAACCGACACAGGUGGGCGAGAUGAGUAUUCUAAGGCGCUUGAGAGAACUCGGGAGAAGGAACUCGGCAAAUUGGUACCGUAACUUCGGGAUAAGGUACGCCCCUGUAGCUUGAUGCCCCUGCGGGCAGAGGGUGAAGGGGUUGCAAUAAACUGGUGGCUGCGACUGUUUAAUAAAAACACAGCACUCUGCAAACACGAAAGUGGACGUAUAGGGUGUGACGCCUGCCCGGUGCCGGAAGAUUAAAUGAUGGGGUGCAAGCUCUUGAUUGAAGUCCCGGUAAACGGCGGCCGUAACUAUAACGGUCCUAAGGUAGCGAAAUUCCUUGUCGGGUAAGUUCCGACCUGCACGAAUGGCGUAACGAUGGCCACACUGUCUCCUCCCGAGACUCAGCGAAGUUGAAGUGUUUGUGAUGAUGCAAUCUCCCCGCGGCUAGACGGAAAGACCCCAUGAACCUUUACUGUAGCUUUGCAUUGGACUUUGAACCGAUCUGUGUAGGAUAGGUGGGAGGCUAUGAAGCGUGGACGCCAGUCUGCGUGGAGCCGUCCUUGAAAUACCACCCUGGUUUGUUUGAGGUUCUAACCUUGGCCCGUGAUCCGGGUCGGGGACAGUGCAUGGUAGGCAGUUUGACUGGGGCGGUCUCCUCCCAAAGUGUAACGGAGGAGUACGAAGGUACGCUAGGUACGGUCGGAAAUCGUGCUGAUAGUGCAAUGGCAUAAGCGUGCUUAACUGCGAGACCGACAAGUCGAGCAGGUGCGAAAGCAGGUCAUAGUGAUCCGGUGGUUCUGUAUGGAAGGGCCAUCGCUCAACGGAUAAAAGGUACUCUGGGGAUAACAGGCUGAUACCGCCCAAGAGUUCAUAUCGACGGCGGUGUUUGGCACCUCGAUGUCGGCUCAUCUCAUCCUGGGGCUGUAGCCGGUCCCAAGGGUAUGGCUGUUCGCCAUUUAAAGAGGUACGUGAGCUGGGUUUAAAACGUCGUGAGACAGUUUGGUCCCUAUCUGCCGUGGGCGCUGGAUAUUUGAAGGGGGCUGCUCCUAGUACGAGAGGACCGGAGUGGACGAACCUCUGGUGUACCGGUUGUCACGCCAGUGGCAUCGCCGGGUAGCUAUGUUCGGAAGAGAUAACCGCUGAAAGCAUCUAAGCGGGAAACUCGCCUUAAGAUGAGAUAUCCCCGGGGCUUCGAGCCCCUUGAAGGGUCGUUCAAGACCAGGACGUUGAUAGGUCAGGUGUGGAAGCGCAGUAAUGCGUUAAGCUAACUGAUACUAAUUGCCCGUAAGGCUUGAUCCU